rnacentral:misc_RNA from 1 species
AUAAAAUCCAAUACAAAUCCCAAAAACUCAUCAAGUUGUACAAAUUACUAAUUUAGAAAAUCUAAUAACACAAAGUUACAUUAAAUCCUCAUUGAAGUCCACAACUAAAAGGUGAACAUCAAUACACAUAAAAUCAAAUCUAUUCUAACCCUAAAAAACAAAAAAUUAACUCAUUAAUCCAAUAAUUUUAAACUUUCGUUUCGUUUCGUUCCAGCAUCGAUAGUCUACGAUACGAAACGUAAUAUAUUAAUCUUCAAAACCAAUUUUUUUCCAAAUAGCAUUUCUAACUCUACUUAAAUCUCUUCCUUUUAAUGUCCUUCCAAUUCCUUCAUGUACUGAAAAUGAAGCAACUCUUGUUCUUGCUAAAUAUUCAUGUGGUGGGAUUCUAUUUUCAUUAUCAAAAUCUCCAUCAUCAUCAAACAUAAUAUUUUUUCCCAAAUUACCCUUCUCAUCAUCACCUAAUAUUUUCGACCAAUCAGGUAUAUUCACAGGCAACGACGUCGCAUUGAUCGCCUUUCUUUCGCCCUUUUUCGUCAUUUUUUUCGAUAAUCUUGAACUUGGUAUUGAUAAUUUUGGUUCAAAAUUGUUAAUUUCUUCCGAAUUACUCCACAUUUCAGCUUCAUCAAAUUCAAAUUGGAGGGUAUUUGUGCUUGAUGAAAGAGGGGUAAUUUUGUCUUUUCCACCUAAGAAGAGGAAAUUUUUGGUUUUUCUUGUUGUUGCCAUAGUUGUUAAAAGGAAGAAAAUAUUGAGAAAAAGAUGAAGAAAAAGAAAAGAGUGUUUUGGUUUGUUAUUUGUUAGGUGUGUG